rnacentral:rRNA from 1 species
AUUGAACGCUGGCGGCAGGCCUAACACAUGCAAGUCGAGCGAGCGGCGGAAGGGUGAGUAAUGUCUGGGAAACUGCCUGAUGGAGUGGGAUAACGACUGGAAACGGUAGCUAAUACCGCAUACCAUCAGCAGUGCCCAGAUGGGAAUAGCUGGAAGGUGGGGUAACGGCUCACCUGGGGGCCGAUCCCUAGCUGGUCUGAGAGGAUGACCAGCCACACUGGAAAUGGGACAGGGUCCAGACUCCUACGGGAGGCAGCAGUGGGGAAUAUUGUACAAUGGGCGCAAGCCUGAUGCAGCCAUGCCGCGUGUGUGAAGAAGGCCUUCGGGUUGUAAAGCACUUUCAGCGGGGAGGCGUUACCCGCAGAAGAAGCACCGGCUAACUCCGUGCCAGCAGCCGCGGUAAUAC